AGAGUGAACGCUGGCGGUAGGCCUAACACAUGCAAGUCGAACGGCAGCACAGGAGAGCUUGCUCUCUGGGUGGCGAGUGGCGGACGGGUGAGGAAUACAUCGGAAUCUACCUUUUCGUGGGGGAUAACGUAGGGAAACUUACGCUAAUACCGCAUAAGACCUUCGGGUGAAAGCCGGGGACCUUCGGGCCUGGCGCGGAUAGAUGAGCCGAUGUCGGAUUAGCUAGUUGGCGGGUAAAGCCCACCAAGGCGACGAUCCGUAGCUGGUCUGAGAGGAUGAUCAGCCACACUGGAACUGAGACACGGUCCAGACUCCUACGGGAGGCAGCAGUGGGAAUAUUGGACAAUGGGCGCAAGCCUGAUCCAGCCAUACCGCGUGGGUGAAGAAGGCCUUCGGGUUGUAAAGCCCUUUGUUGGAAAGAAAUCUUGCGGAUAAUACCCGGCAGGAUGACGGUACCAAAGAAUAAGCACCGGCUAACUCGUGCCAGCAGCCGC
rnacentral:rRNA from 1 species